UACGUAGGGUGCAAGCGUUGUCCGGAAUUAUUGGGCGUAAAGAGCUCGUAGGCGGUCUGUCGCGUCGGCUGUGAAAUCCCGGAGCUCAACUCCGGGUCUGCAGUCGAUACGGGCAAACUGGAGUACUGCAGGGGAGACUGGAAUUCCUGGUGUAGCGGUGAAAUGCGCAGAUAUCAGGAGGAACACCGAUGGCGAAGGCGGGUCUCUGGGCCGAUACUGACGC
rnacentral:rRNA from 1 species